rnacentral:rRNA from 1 species
GACGAACGCUGGCGGCGUGCCUAAUACAUGCAAGUCGAACGCAGUGGGGACGGGUGAGUAACACGUGGGUAACCUCCCAUCAGAGGGGAUAACACUUGGAAACAGGUGCUAAACCGAUACUGAUGGAUGGACCCGCGGUGCAUUAGCUAGGUGGUGAGGUAACGGCUCACCAAGGCCACGAUGCAUAGCCAGCCUGAGGGGGUGGUUGGGCACACGUGGAAUGAGACACGGCCCAGACCCCCAAGGGAGGCAGCAGGAGGGAAUCUUCGGCAAAGGACGAAAGGCUGACCCAGCAACGCCGCGUGAGGGAAGAAGGUUUUCGGAUCGUAAAACUCUGUUGUUAGAGAAGCGGUAUCUAACCAGAAAGCCACGGCUAACUACGUGCCAGCAGCCGCGGUAAUAC